rnacentral:rRNA from 1 species
GGGGGGUAGAAUUCCAGGUGUAGCGGUGAAAUGCGUAGAGAUCUGGAGGAAUACCGGUGGCGAAGGCGGCCCCCUGGACUGAGACUGACGCUCAGGUGCGAAAGCGUGGGGAGCAAACAGGAUUAGAUACCCUGGUAGUCCACGCCGUAAACGAUGUCUAUUUGGAGGUUGUGCCCUUGAGGCGUGGCUUCCGGAGCUAACGCGUUAAAUCGACCGCCUGGGGAGUACGGGCGCCAGGAUAGAACUCCAAUGAAUUGACGGGGGCCCGCACCAGCGGUGGAACAUGGGGUUUAAUUCCAUGCCACCCCAAAAACCUUACCUGGGCUUGGCCUCCGGCGGACUUUCCAGAGAUGGAUUGGUGCCUUCUCGAACUGUGAAACGAGUGCUGCAUGGCUGUCGUCAGCUCGUGUUGUGAAGUGAUGGGUUAAUUCCCGCAACAACCGCAACCCUUAUCCUUUGUUG